rnacentral:rRNA from 1 species
GCGUAAUAGCUCACUGGUCGAGUCGGCCUGCGCGGAAGAUGUAACGGGGCUAAACCAUGCACCGAAGCUGCGGCAGCGACACUAUGUGUUGUUGGGUAGGGGAGCGUUCUGUAAGCCUGCGAAGGUGUGCUGUGAGGCAUGCUGGAGGUAUCAGAAGUGCGAAUGCUGACAUAAGUAACGAUAAAGCGGGUGAAAAGCCCGCUCGCCGGAAGACCAAGGGUUCCUGUCCAACGUUAAUCGGGGCAGGGUGAGUCGACCCCUAAGGCGAGGCCGAAAGGCGUAGUCGAUGGGAAACAGGUUAAUAUUCCUGUACUUGGUGUUACUGCGAAGGGGGGACGGAGAAGGCUAUGUUAGCCGGGCGACGGUUGUCCCGGUUUAAGCAUGUAGGCUGGUUGUCCAGGCAAAUCCGGAUAAUCAAGGCUGAGGUGUGAUGACGAGGCACUACGGUGCUGAAGUAACAAAUGCCCUGCUUCCAGGAAAAGCCUCUAAGCAUCAGGUAACAUCAAAUCGUACCCCAAACCGACACAGGUGGUCAGGUAGAGAAUACCAAGGCGCUUGAGAGAACUCGGGUGAAGGAACUAGGCAAAAUGGUGCCGUAACUUCGGGAGAAGGCACGCUGGUGUGUAGGUGA